rnacentral:lncRNA from 1 species
CGCAGAUCCAUGGUAGUGACAUGGGGUCCUGUCCAAGAAGCGGCUUCUAGGACUACUUUCAUGGUUGAAGGAGAGGAGAGGCCAAGGCAAUGGUAAAGAUCUCAUGAAGCUCCUGAGUCCUGAGAUGCAGCCAGAUUUUGUCCAUCACACAAUGGCCUGGCCGAGCCCAGGGACAUUGACCAGAAACCCGAGGCAAUGAGAUUGUCAGGAAGAGCCGGUGAACUCCUAGGACCCCUUGGCCCUGAGGAGUCUCUAUGGAACAGGAGGCCAGUCACAUCUGAAGGUUUGGAAGAUCCAUUAGGGAACAUUCACUUGGUCAUAUCGUCUUGGAGGUCUUUCCCAUAGCUUCUGACCGCACGGCUAUUUGCUCAUUGGUGGGAAAUUCUUGAUAGGACUAGAAAUGAAGUUUUGCC